rnacentral:lncRNA from 1 species
UUUUUUUUUUUUGUCUUUGAUGAUGAUGCCCGACAUGAGAUUUAUCAUUCACAACUUUGUGCAGGAACUCUAUGCUUUGCCUCAGGAAAGCCAGCCAAGAAAUGGACAUAUUGGGGACGAAGCUACUAGGCAGGUUGAUUACAGAGAUCCUACUGUCGUUUAUUCUGGAGUUUGCAUUUUUAUGAAAACGAUUGCAAGUGUUCCAUACUUUAUUCUCCUGUAAAAGAUUUUGAAAGUUUUGAGUUAUUCCUGUUUGAAAAUUGGGCUGAUAUGCAAGCAGUACUUCAUGCAGUUGUUAGAUCGAGCUAAUCAUAUGUCGUCUAGUAAAAAAUAAAGAAGAAUGACGAGCUAGACCGAAUAUAUAGUUUCAGUCUGGAGAUGUUAGGAUUGAAUGUUUGGAGAUCCUAUAUUGCCACUUUCAUUUUGGUUCUUGAGUGCAAGAUUGAUUGGUCAAACAUUUUAAAUAAGGUUUCACCUGCAUGAGAUGUUCCGAAACGCAAUAUGUUCAUAAUUUGGCUUUAUCGUGUGGGCUGGUCGAUGGUCCUUUGUCAGUGAUGGUGUGCUCCUUAUUUGGUUCAUCUUUAUCUCUUAGAUGUGAGGAUACGGCCAUGGGGUAAACAUGUCGCUAUUAUGGUCUGAGAUAGAAAUAUUAAGGACUUGGCACUCGGAGAUCAUUGUGGGAUGAUUCUACAACUAUGACUAGUGUUUCCCAAUCAGCUGACGGGUAGUGUUUCCCAAGAGGUAUGCCGUAAUUGUACGUAUACAAAGCCAAUAUUGGAUUUUUAGGCACAGGGAGAGGUGUUUUCUUCCUUCUAGUUUUUACCGCCUUAUCCAAAGAGAGAGUUCUUUAUAUAUAUAUAUACAUAUAUAUAUAUAUAUAUGUAUAUGUAUAUAUACAUACAUAUAUAUGUGUGUAUAUAUACAUACAUAUAUAUAUANNNNNNNNNNNNNNNNNNNNUAUAUAUAUAUAUAUCUCGAGAAUAGGAGUAUCGAACACCUGGCAUCGAAACAUCAGCUUCCUUCGCUUCUGUUAUUUAUUUAUACCACCGAAGGAGGGGUUAGGAAAAGGAAAAAGAAAAGAGUUCCGGUGGGCGAGCGAUACGGGCGAAAGAGUCGGGCGGCCGCGACGAUGGAUUCUUCGAGCGGCGACAGCGGGCGAGGUGGAGGGACGUCGCUGCUGUCGGCGUGGAGCGCCGCCGCCUCCCGGCGGUACCAGCACCUGCUCGACAAGGCCACGCCGCACGUACUUCGGAGGUGGGCCGGGCUGGCCGUGCUGGCUCUCGUCUACGCCGCUCGCGUCUGGAUUGUCCAGGGUUUCUAUAUCGUCUCGUACGCCCUCGGCAUCUACGUCCUCAACCUCUUCAUCGCCUUCCUCUCCCCACAGGUCGAUCCCGAGAUCCAGGACCUCGUCGCCGGCCCCGGUCCCUCCCUUCCCACCCGUUCCUCUGAUGAGUUCCGCCCUUUCGUUCGCCGCCUACCCGAGUUCAAGUUUUGGUCAGUGCCGUGCACCAUUCUUUCUUGCUCCUCUUAUUUUUGAUCCUAUUUGAUCUCGCAAUCCUUUUUCUCGUGUGUCGACCUGUUAGAUUCAGAUCAAAUAUGUUAGAUCAAGUAAAAUCCUAUGCUAAGAAAGUAGAAGGCUAUAAUUGGUUGAUACGAGCUCUUGGCUUGAUCCCCUGCAUUGAUUCAGGAAAGUUAUUUGAUUUUAGCCUACCAAAGUUUUGCAAUGGAGUUGAAAUUUCUGAAGCAUGCAUGUGGUACAUACAUAAGUGUUGAAGAAAACUUUGUGAUAAGAGAUUCUAGAAGGAUUGGGACAAUCAACCAUAGAUGUUGGUGUUUCCUUUUUGUUUUUUUCUUUUCGCAGCAAAUGUUCUUUAGCAACUCCGGAAUGGCCCGAUCAAUUGUGACAUCGGUUAUCUUUUUCACAUAGGGCGUGUCUUCCUCUAGGUCAAGGUGUUUUCACAUAGGUAUAACCUUUACCUAUUUGACCGAUGGUGGAUUGGUUUUGACAAAAGACAAAAGAAUAUGCAAGAAUUGACUUUAAUUGUUAACUGAAAAUUCAUCUCAAUGCCUUUCAACAAGUUGCCUGCCUGAGCACUAGUGUUAUUGUUGAGUAGCAAUAAUGCUUAAUUGAACAGCACAGUCAUUUAUCCGCAUAAUUCAUGUGUUGGUUGACUAGGAGCUGAUUAACCAAUUAGAUUGAACUUUUUGUCUAAAUGAACAGAGAGCACUUGAUCACUUGCGACGAUUGCUAGAAACAUUGACUCUAGAAUUCUUUAUUUAAGGUAAUACUGAUAAUUAUAUGAAGCAUGAGGACCUAGGUAAUGUUACGGUUGUUUUUUUUUUCUUGUGCGAUGCGAUCAAGACUUAAGACAUAAAAACAACAUAAGACUGUGUAUAUUGUCUCUUCCCAAUUGCAUUGGUGGGGGCUUUGUACUUUGGGACCAUCCUUUAACAAUGAGACGAAGUGAAAAUGGAUCAGUAGUUAUAACAAAGGAGUGCUAUUAAGUUGCACCAGGCUAAGAUCCAAAUCUAUCCAAUAAAGGCUCACAAGUUCCAAUCCUGAAUCUGAAUCCCUCCCAUAAGAGGAUCUAAAUCAAAUCUUGAUUGCAGAAACUAUAACUAUUGGAUACCAUAUUUGGUAGCUUAGAUUUGGCUUGCUUUCCAUAUACAAUAAAUGCUAUUUGGUUUUGCUUUCCCCAAUCCAAUAUACAACCAAAGGUUAGCAAUAAAGGAACCAAACCGAUCAAAGUGCAUUGCUCAUUUGCAGUCUGUACCAUUUAUCAGUCAAACAUCUCAGAAAAUCUCGUAUAGGCAUUUUUAUAGAAAAACAAUACUUUGAUCUUUAUCAAAGACAAUUGUUUUAUGGAUUUACUCCAAAAGCAGAGUCCAAUAGUUACCAUUUACAGGUUGAGAUUCCAUACUCGAUAAAUAGCUUAAUAAAUCCUGUUCAAGAAUCCCUUACUUGAAAUCAGGUCAAAUUCAGAUUUGGACUAUCAGAUCCUCAGGGUCUUUGGCACCUGUAAAUUCAACCUUUUAUAGGCAUCAAAACUAUGAGGUGUUGGCAGUGAUAUGACAUUUACAGUAUGCUGACAUGGUUUCCUCGUGUCAUGCAGAUGCCAUCUCGUAUAAAGAUAAUAAAUGCAGCAUCUAGUAGGGUCCAAGUUGGUCCAUAAAUGAUGCACUUGGCAACACUUGGAUGACACGUCAACUUUAUGUUUGUCACCUGGCACUAUAGGAUUGGCAUGUCAGCUUACAUGAUUCCAUGCGGAUGACAGAUCAACUUGACUGCCUUGAUGUUUGUUACUCGGUACCACACAACAUGUUAGUUAGCACCAUUCUGUCGCCAUGAACAUUAGACCUUGGGCUAGGCCUUCCAAAUAGAUCAACUCCUAGGUGGGAAAGAAAACAGAGGCCAGUGUUAAAUUGCUAAACCACUGGUGAGGAAAGUGAAAAUUUCCCUUUGUAAUUAAUAUAUCAAUGCAGUAUAUUUAGAUAUUGCUUGAACUAUGUCUGUAAUAAUAUUUGCAUUCCCUGUUUUGUGAUUUAUUCUAAAUUUAUUUACAUGCUUUAAUAUGUUUGACGAGUAUUUAAGAGUGUUCAAGUUCAUCAUCCUAUAAGAUGGUAUGAAAUUCUAAAAACACAAUUUGAUAAUUUACUCGGAAAAUGAUCAGGUAAUUCCAUACAUUGAUAGUUGCUCUGAGCCUCUUGACUUCUGCCUGAGUGUAUAUGCUACCACCCAAGUGUAUAUUUGUUUUCACCCAUGGUUUACGAACCUAUUCGUUGAACAUGAUCUAUUCUGAUGAUGGAAAAAUACUCAUUUCAGGUCCCACUCUGAAAUCCCUCAUCCAACCAAAUUUUAGUGAUAUCAAUACCUUAGUGCUUUUUCUAUUUCUAUAGAUAGUCACUUCCUUUCUACUUGUCAUAAACCUAGUACCAUCGCUUACCUAGAACAAGUGUGACAAUUUUUAUUUCAACACGCUCUACUGCUAAUAACAUUUUGACGUUACAAACACAUCAUGAUGUGGCAUCAUGUCGUGCCCAUGAGUAGUAUGUGCGUGGUGGGCACAAAAUUGGUACAGCAAGUUACAAUUGUCAUAGGCAAACCAUGAUUCAGACCCACAUAACUGCAGCUAGUGUUCCUUUCCAAAGGAUGGAACAAUUGCACAUCCAGUACCUUGCUGGUUUAGUUGUGUUAUCAUGGCAGAAAAGCAUGAGUAUGGUGCAUGAUACUCAUCAUAAUGACACUGUUUUGAAGUAGUAGUUGAAUAUAUUUUUUCUAAUAUGAUCAUAUUGCUGAGAAGUUAGAUCAUUUGUCUAGACUGGUUGUGAACUAGUAGUUGUCUUUUCUUUCAUUCUUUUGCUCUUUCUUGUCGGUUUCUCUCAUGUUCUUGUUCUGAAAGAUGUAAAUGCAGUUCUUUUUAGUGUCCAUGGGUAACAUUCUUUCAGUGCAGGCAUUCCAUUACAAAAGCGUUUUGCAUUGCUUUCGUAUUGACGUUCUUCAGUGCAUUUGAUGUGCCUGUAUUUUGGCCUAUUCUGCUCUUCUACUGGUUAGUGCUGUUCACAGUCACGAUGAAGAGACAGAUUCUUCAUAUGAUUAAAUACAAAUAUGUUCCAUUCACCUUCGGAAAGCAGGUAUUUUAAUGCUUCUAAACACAGAUGAGAUAUCGUUCUCUUAAACAAGUAUCCUGAUUAAUCGUCUGAUCUCCUAUUUCAGCGUUACACUGGGAAAAAAGCAGUCUCCACCGAUGAUGCGACUCUUCCGAGCGAUUGAACUGCAUGUUUGUAUGUUAAGCUCGAAAGAAUCCCAAGUUGAAACCCUAGUUAGAACGAAGAGGUCAAAAUGGUCUAAUCAUUGUGAUCUAUAUUAUGCUAGGAGCUUUCUAUAGUUCAACCGAGUUGGAAGAACCUGAUGUUGAGUGCUCUGUUACAUGUCAAUGUGUGAGGCUUACAGAUUCCGAUGGGUCUUCUGGUCUCUUGCAUUUUGUUUUACCUGUUGAACAGCAGCUACAUUUAUCAUUCAGAAGACACCAUAUGUUUUGAUGCUCUUCGUCUUCCUACAUGUUUGUUAUUACUAGGCACAGAGACAGCAUCAACUUCGUUUCUCCAAAUCUUUACUUAGGCUAUUUGUUACCGCGUUGAAGAGUGUAUUUAUGUUCUUUCCAUAACAUCGAAUUGCGCGAGUGGAUUUCAAUCUUUUCAAUUCGGAUUCCAUUACUAUAUAAUUAAUUCAUUAAAGGAAGAAAACAAUUUAAUCUUUUAAGGAUAUUUUAGGAAAAAUAAACUUCUCCCCUUCCCAAUUGUGUGGACUUUGGACAGAAUGAACUUUCUAGAAGAAAUAACAUAGAGAAGUUCCAAGACUUUUCGUGCAGUUUGAGGGCGUCACGACCUUUCUUCGCGUUCAUCCCAUCGAUUUCCCGCAUUGUUUCCCCUCCUCCUCUUAAUACGCGUUGACUUGACUUUCGGGUCGUCGCUUCUCCCUUAUUAACGUUUCUUCCGUUAAUAAACUCCCACCUUCUCUAUCUCUUCUCGCCUCCGAUCUCAAUGUCGUCCGUCUCUGGAAUCCAAGGCCACAUCCUUGAGGUCACCGGUAACUCCGCCUGAACCUUUCCCCCUUCCUCGUUUUCGUUAAUCCUUCUUGACGAUAUGUGUAAUGAUCAUUCUCUCUAUUCGAUUUUGUUGUUGUUGUUGCUGCUGCUGCUCUGGGGGGGAAGUGGUUGGGUGCACCAAAUUGAGGGACACCGAGCUGUUCUCCCGCCAAGAUCCUUACGUCUGCCUUGAAUACGCCAAUUCCAAGUUCCGCACUCGCACCUGCACAGGUUUGUUCUUUGAUUCAUUCCCCUAAUGUUUUCUUGAUCUGAUGAUCGGAAGGCGCUUAACAAAAGCUGGAUUUGGGUUCCCAGAUGGCGGCAAGACCCCCACGUUCCAGGAGAAGUUUCAGAUACCCCUCAUCGAGGGGCUCCGUGAGAUCAGCGUGGCUGUGUGGAACAGCAACACCUUCACCGCCGACGACUUCAUCGGCAGCGCCAGGUUCCCAUCUUGUCCUCUCCCUUCAUCCUUUUCUUACUUGGUAUUUGGUCGAUUCCUCGCGCUCUCUCUCCCUCUUUCUGUUAAUCAAAUUAAGGCUUACUCGGUAAACAUGCUCAAUUUGUUCUGCUCCUAUAACCGAUCGUGAUCCGUAGCUUGUUCUUUGCUAGUCAAAUUAGGGUUUCACCAUUUAGACGAUGACAUCAAUUGGUUUUCCCUAUUUACAACCUGGCUCAUAGUUCAGCUAGAUUGGCUAUGAUCUCUGUGAAUCAAGAUACUGAAACAUGGAACUCGAUCCUUCUUGUGCCCAGGGUUCAAUUGCACAAGGUCCUCUCCCAGGGUUAUGAUGACACUUGUUGGCCACUCCAAACCAAGAAUUUCAAGUAAAGACUGUUCUCUCAAUUUUUGCUACUCUGCUAUUAGGUUAGAGCUUUCUUCCCAUCAUAUUGUUUUUGCAGAUUUGCAGGAGAGGUGAAGCUCAUCAUGCACUUCCAAAAUGCAUUAGUAAGUUCGGUUCGAUUAUUGCUUGUAAAUUCCCACUAGAGAACACAAGUAACUUCAAUUUGUUGCAUCGAUGAGCAGCACAAGACCCCCGCACAUUGUGCUCCGUCCGCCCCACCUUACAUGUCGCCGCCGCCGGUGAUCGCGGCAUAUGCCCCUCCUUAUGCUUCUCCUUACACAGCUGGAGCUUAUCCUGGAGCUGCCUCAUAUGCUUCGUAUCCCCCACCUGCGGCAGCACCGUAUCAGACUAGUGUAUAUCCAACUCCACUACCGCAACAAUUCUACGCACCCCAAUCGUAUCCUCCUCCUUCCUAUCCGCCGCAGCCCUACAUGCAGCAGUACCCCCCGUCGCCGGCACAACCUUACUAUCCACCAGGUAAGUCUCAAAAGAGGAGCAUCGAUUGAGGAGAUUCCUGAGCACAAUGUAAUUACCUGGAACUCUUUUUGCAGGGCCUUACCCGGGUUCUUAUCCUCCACCUUACUGAUUGGGAGAUUAAUGGUGCUAGUCUUGCAAUUCAUUUCUUCUUCGUGCACCUCCAAAUCAAGUGGUGGCUUCACGGUAGAUGAUUUCACAGUUAUGUUUCUCUCCUUGUUUGGUGAUUCAGCUGCGUACCUGCGGAUAAAGUUAAUACUAAUUUUUGGUGAUUCAUAUGCUUCUAUUAUUAUUAUUUUUUUUACUUUUGUCUUUGAAUUUGAAAUUUGGAAUGCAUUAAGUGCCUAUCUUACUCUUCAGUUUUAUUUGAAGCCAUGAAGGCUCUUUGGGUCAUAGCGUUUUGUUUGCAAGUGGAUUGCAACCACGAAGUCCCAUCCCUACUUCUUCUCCUCCUCUCAGUGGUUCAUCACAACCACUUGUUCCAGAACACCCCAGUCGUCUUCCUUUUGUUUAGCUCAUGGCUCUUGCAUUCACGCUGUGUCGGAGGACAAACGAGUGCAGAGCCGCAGCAGCAUCGGGCGCCGAAGCCGGAAGAGUCCGACCGGAAAAAGCCGUCGAGGACGUGGCUUUUAUCCUUAGUUUCGGAAGGUUUUGCCUUGGUGGUAUCUCUAUCCGGUAGAUUCACGCAGCCGAAGGACACUAGUCUGUCACUUUUGGCUGUGUGUUUGGGAAGACGAUGAGGUAAAUGACUCGAGUGCGUUCGAGCCCUGUGGGGGAGUCUGUGUCCAUUCUUGUCCCCUUCUGAGCGGUUCUUUUUCAUGCUCGAUUAGUAAGUACAUUAAACAUACCUCUUCGAUCUGGAGAUAAAUAAUGUCGAAUUAACAGUGCUUGUGAGAUCUGAUAUACUACCACUUGCCACUUGGUAAACCCAAACUAGUUUCUUUGGUAGAUGCUUAGCGGCGGGGAACAAUGAUUUGAUGUUGUUGCUGUUCGUGCCCGAGAUGGGUGGAAAUCAGAAAUGAAAAGAUUGCUUGUCUUAUUCUCUUGGAAACAUCCCUGUUAUACAAACUUGAUUGAGCCAAACAGAGAAUAGAUACAUGCAAAAGGCUAAAAAGUGAAAAGUAGCACAGGCACUCCGAGUACAAGGCAAUUUAACUUGCCUGGAUUCAUUUCACAUGAUGUGUAUAGCAGAUUUGCAGGUACAUCUCUUAAUAGCUUUACUAUUAUGUGCAGUCGAGUCAAGUUUUCACGUUCACCAAUCGAAUCCAGCAAACCAAAUCAAGGAUCUCUGUUCUUGGAAUCAGUGUGUGGAGUCCUCCUUCUUCAUCUCCUAGUUACUUUCUCUUCUUCCAUCCCUGUUUUAGCUCAAAUAGUGUUGGGAUCUGAAGUUACAGAUGAAGUGAAUGUUCUCUUCCAGAAGACGGUUGAAGUAAUCUGUUCAUUCACGUGCCAAUACUACCUACAGAUCGAUAGCUCAAUAGGUCCUUUUCCUGUGUCACUUUCCUGCUACACAAGAAAGAGAAAGAGGAGGAGAGAGAUGGAUUGCUGUGCUAUCACCAAAAUGAAAUGGAAAGUGGUGUAAUAAUUGUCUAUAGAAGACAAACCAAAUCUAUGGAGAAUAAUAGACUCCAGAAAGUCCCAACCUCGAUCAAAAUUGAGUUGCAUGCAAUGACAGUGACGCAGGAAUGCCAUCAAACCAAAGACAUGGAAUUUUCCCAAUCAUAGCAUCAACUUGGUCACCCAAAUCUUGGUGGCAAAAGGGCAUAUGUAUUGGAGAGAGAGAGAGAGAGAGAGAGAGAGAGAUGUGCAGAGUGGUUUUAUUACACAGAUUCUGCAAAGGAGAUAUAACCCAUAAAGAUUUGCCUGUUUUGGGGGGAAAGAAGGGUGAAAAGGUCACAACCUCAGUCCAUCUACAAUUGUAGGAAGACAAAAUUCACUUGCCUCCAAUUGAUCAUACAAAUCAAUGUAAACCCUCUGAGACAUUAUAACCUACAACAGUUGAGGCCGGGAUGCAUCAGCCACAAACAGCAAGGCCAUGAAAAGUUGUGCUGCCUCCAACCAUUGGCACCUCCCAACACUGUCCCUUUGUAUUGAAUAAUAAUCUCAUGCAUCAAAAGCUCUAUACAAAUUAAGCAUCAUAGGCUAAGCCUACCUUCCCUGCACCCAACACCAGACGGUGCUACUUCUCCCAUAAAGAUUCCCAACACUUGACCAUCGUAGUAAAUGCAUGGUCCCUUCAGCCCUCCCUCUUCGAUCUCUUUCCGCAAGAGAUGACAUAGGAAGUGGAAGAGGCCCAACAAGCACACUAGUCCUUCGAGAACGUGAGCAAAUCCUCCACAGUUAACGCUGAUCUCAUGCGGAGAGUGAGAGGCAGAACACCAGAAGACAUUACAUCCUUCCUCCUCCCUCUUGUCCUUGUUUUCCUUGGAUCCACCUUCAUCGGCUCACUAGGUUUGCCGCCCAUAUCCCGCAGGUCAAUCCCCUCUCCCAUGUCUUCUUUCCGACAGCAAGAUUCCCCUACAGCCCUUUCCCUCCCUCUCUCUCUCUCUCUCUCUCUGGCUUUUCCUUUUUUCCCUGCGGUGUUGCCUGGGAGGGAGGUUGUUUUGACUAUUCUUUCUGUGUCUGUGACUUGGUUCCAGGUUAAAGCUUUGAGGCUGCUUCAGGCAGUGGAUGCCCUCUCGAUGAGCUGUGGUCUUAUUUUAUAGCUUCCAACAGGCUAAUCCAAUCCCCUCCUUUUGUUUGCUCUCUUCCCCAUGACCUAUCUCACCUCAGAGUCACAUGCAUUGUUCCCAGCUGAAGCUCCAGUCCAGUUUUUUUCUUCCUCUCUUGGCUUAUAGCUCAAGGUUUUUUGAGGCCACCCUCCCCCUGCAGACAUACGUUCCAGGGGUUCGUUCACAUCACAUCCCUCUUCUUCUUCUUCUUCUUGUAGCAGCCACUGAGACAUGAGUUGCUCCAAAGCAUCACCAACAUGAGCUCACAAGGGAGUAGGCUGCAGAGCAAAUGGCAGGCUACUACUAGAUCUCUUCCACCGCUGCUGACGCUUCUUGUCCUGGUAAGCCCAGUGCUGGCCCUCGGCCAAGAUGGAGUGCUGCUGCUCAAGUUCAAGUCCUCCAUCCUCAGCGACCCCCUCGCCGUGCUCCGCGACUGGAACUACUACGACGCCACGCCGUGCUCGUGGAAUGGAGUCGUGUGCAUGGGUUUCCCGGACGCAGCCGCUAUCACCUGGACUCCUCCUCCUCCUCCUCCUGCUGCUAAUACUGGAGGCGGUGGCAAUGUUCAGGUCCCCACGGCUUCCAGAGUGAUCGGCUUGGUCCUGCCCAACUCUCGGCUCUUGGGCUCCGUCCCCCCCGAGCUCGGCCUCCUCGAACACCUUCGCCACCUCGACCUCUCCGGCAACAUGCUCAACGGCACCCUCCCGCCCUCCCUCUUUGACGCUUCCGAGCUUCGCGUGCUCUCGCUGGCCAACAACGCCAUCUCCGGAGAGCUCCCGGAGCUCGACGGGCGCAUGAGCAGCAGUUUGCAGGUGCUCAACCUCUCCGACAACGCAUUGAUCGGCAGGUUGCCGGCGAACCUUUCUCGGCUGCCGAACCUCACAGUUGUGUCCCUCGCCAAUAACUACCUGUACGGACAACUUCGCGGCGGCGGGUUCUUGCGGCUCCAGUACUUGGAUCUCAGCUCCAACCUCGUCAAUGGCUCCUUGCCGACGGAUCUCGGUGGGCCGAGGCUCCGGUACUUGAACCUGUCAUACAACCGCCUCACCGGCGCAAUCCCGCUGGAGCUGGGGGCGACGAUUCCGGCCAACGCCACGGUGGAUCUGUCGUUCAACAAUCUCACCGGAGAGAUCCCGCAUGGCGGCGCUUUCGCCGCGGAGAAGCCGAUGGCGUUCGUGGGGAACCCGAGUCUAUGCGGGAGGCCGCUCAGAAACCCGUGCGCCAUCCCCUCCAUUCCCUCCACCGUCUCCGACCAUCCUAAUUCUUCCGUCGCGGCUCCGCAGAAGGGCAAGUCUCCCCCAGCCUUCGCGGCGAUACCCAAGAACACGGACGGGACCUCGCCUGCCGGUGGCGGGCAAAGCUCGGCAGGGCGAGGGACCCUCCGGCCGUUUGCUGUGAUCGCGAUCACGGUCGGGGAUUUGGCCGGCGUUGGGAUCCUUUUCGUAGUGUUCUUGUAUCUAUACCAUGUGAAGAAGAAGAAGAAGACGCAAGAGCAGCGGCAGCAGAAAGAAGUUGGAGGCGUAGGGCUGAAGAAUGAGCCGCCGCCAACAGCAACAACGGCAUCCCCUGAAUCCAAAACCAUAGGGCUGUUGUCUUGCUGUUUGAGAAAGAAAGGCGGCGGCGACGGAGGUGACACCGAGGAGACAUCGGAGACUUCGGGAUCCUCCGAGACGGAGGGAGAACUGGAAGAAGCGCCAAAGGGAGAAAAGGACGGUGAGGACGGUAGAUCCCACUCGCAGCAGAAGCUACAAGGGGCUACUCUUGUCAUGGUCGACGGCGAGACAGAGCUGGAAAUCGAGACAUUGCUCAAAGCCUCGGCUUAUAUACUCGGCGCCAGUGCGUCCAGCAUCGUCUACAAGGCGGUGCUCGCCGACGGCACCGCCUUGGCCGUCCGCCGCAUUGGGGAGGGCAGCGUCAUCGGCAAGUUAAAGGAUUUUGGUGCUCAGGUCCGCAGCCUUGCCAAAUUCCGCCACCCGAACCUCCUCCGCCUCCGGGGAUUCUCCUGGGGCGCCGACGAGAAGCUUCUCAUUCACGACUAUGCCCCCAACGGUAGCCUCGCCAACAUCUCUCUCAGCAGUAUGUCUCUGUCUUCUUUUGCCGUCUCUUUUCUACGAUGAAGUUUGCUUCAUGAAUCAGUGGAUUGAGUCCUGUGUACUUGCCCGAGUGUUUACAGAGAAGCUCGGCUCGUCGCCGUUGCAUCUGAGCUGGGAGGCACGACUCAGAAUAGCGAGAGGCGUGGCGAGGGGGCUCGCCUACAUCCACGAGAAGAAGUGCUCGCAUGGCAAUCUCAAACCGAGCAACAUUUUAUUGGAUUCAGACAUGGAGCCAAAGAUCGGAGAUUUCGGCCUGGACAGGGUAAUGUUGGGCGCGGGCGCGUCGGCCCGGCAAUUCGGGAGUAAGCGGUCGAUGCACUCUUCGAUCAGCUUGCCAGAUCUGUCCUCGGUCGCCGGAGCUAGUCCUUCCGCCGCAAGCGGCUCCUCCUCCUCGGCACUCGCACCUCCGCCGUAUCAGGCGCCGGAGUCCCUGAAGAACCUGAAGCCCAGCGCCAAGUGGGACGUUUACUCGUUCGGGAUGGUGUUGCUGGAGCUGGUUGCCGGAAGAGUGUUCUCGGAGGUGGAGCUCUGUCACUGGAACGCAGGGCUUGUGGUGGAGGAGAGGAACAGGCUUCUGAGGAUGGCCGACGCGGCGAUAAGAGGGGAGGUGGAAGGCAAGGAGGAGGCUCUGCUGUGCUGCAUCAAGCUGGGGUUCGCUUGCUGUGCCAUGGCACCUCAGAGGCGGCCCUCCAUGAAGGAGGCAGUCCAAGUGCUGGACAACAUCUCUCCGCUUCCGCUUCCGCAUCCACAGUCUGCCAACGUUCUGCUGUCGAAUCAUAGCAAAUGCAAUCCGUGAUGCCAUUGACCUUUCGACUGCAACACACACUGAUUUGUUCCUCUUUGAUGUGUUCAAUAUAUGAGUCGUUCUUCUUGUUUUCCUUAGUGUGAGUUGACGACCAGCCUUCCGUUUUGGUUGUGACUAAAUGAUUAGAUUGUGGUCACUCUGCACUGCUUUGUAUCGAUUAGGCAGCGAAGUAGAACUCAGAGUUCUUCCAUGUUUCCCAGAUUCGAGUCUGCAUAGUUACUGCCAAAUGCAGAUACACCACCAUCUUGCUUCACCGUGAAAAGAGAAGCUCAAUUCCCAUUCUUUUUUAUAGAGAUAUAUGACAAACUUUAAGGACUCGAAUUAGAUUUCUUUGCUCUUUCUUUUCGUUUAAGAUCCGUAGUCAAGGGAAGAACAGCUGCUCAAAGUCAUCCAUGCAACAGAGGAAAGAGCAAAAGAAGACAUAAAGAGGAUGGAACUCUUUCCAAUGUCAACAAGCUUUCUCAAGGUACAGUAUACUGACUAGAGCACCGCAUCAGUGACCGCUCAGAGCAAAGAAGCUAAGCAUCGCCAUCAAGAGACAGAGAGCAGCAUUGGCAACAUUUGCAGGCUGGCCACUCGGAGGAUGUUGAGUCGUCGGUGAAGUGACCGGCGCCUUCUCGACGAGAUCUGCCACCGGGGGCAGCGGCGGAUCCACAACGUCAGCGACCUCCAGAACUGGCGCAGGGGCUUCCGCCGGAGGCGCCGCGUCUGGUGAUGCCAGCGACAGCAAAGUACCGGGCUCUGCUGGUAAGAUCGAGUACGGUAGGUUGGCAUUCAAGUCAGAGCAUGGGCUCUCUGCAACAUCAAAAGGGCAUAUCCCAAGCACCAAAUCUUAGAUUGCCAAGACAGCAGCAAGAUUUCUCCUUGUCAGCUAAAUCGAAGUAAAAGAAGAUACUCACUGAGGUAUGCAGCUGCCGUGGCUGGGAACUCGGUCACGACGCCGUCAACUCCGACACCUGCAACGUACGUAGCAAGCUCCACCAUCGGGUCGGAGAAGUAAUCAAACGCUAUGGUCAAGAACUCGUUCCUCAGCACCGAGACGUAAACCGAUAUGUUAGCUGCGUGCAUCUGGUCAACCACGUUGGUGAAGGCGGAGACGAAGAAGCCCGACGCGGCGACGAUGGACGAUCUAGGAAGGUUGACCGCGUCAGCGAACUGCUUGAUCUCCUCCACUGUUGGCUUUGGAGCGUCGCUUAUCGUCUCCUUGACGUGGAGCACUCGCUGGUAUCCAGAAUUCUUCUUGAAUGCAGAGAGGACCGCGGUGUCGUCGGACUGGAUGUACACUUGCUUGUCGUAACUGGCAUUCCUCAACGCGGUGGAGACUGCGUCUACCGCCCCAAGUCCUUUCUUCGAAGCAAGGUAAGCUGCGUUCUGCAGGAUCAAGAUGACGAUGAGUGAAUGGAUGACUCGAACAAUCCAGAUCUGUGCAGUAUUCCAAAAAGAUGACCACCUCUAUGUUGAUCAAGAUUCCAGAGACGGUGCUCUUCUUCGCAAACUGCAAGAAGUCAGCCAGCGUCAUGAACUUGCCCUCACUUUUCGCUGCAGGAUUUCUUGCCAAGCCGGACUGAGACAUGGGGCUCGUCAAUGCCGCUACAGGAAGAUAACCAAAACCAUGGGAUCGACAUUCUCGGAAUUAGAUUUCUAAUGGUGAACAGAGUAAGGUUGCUUACGCUUCAAGCUUUGGAUCUCGCUCCAUGUGAGAUCAAAGGAGAAGAUUCCAUUGUUUUGCUGUAUCUCGGGAACCAUUGCCGCUCGCGGCAUGAACGCAGCAGCUGCGGUUGUGUCGCCCAUAAGAUCUGCCGAAUCCAAGCAAAAGGCAACUCCAUCCUUUGACAUCUGAAUCGAACAGUCAAGAACAUCAGCUCCAUCUUCCACUGCUCGUUGAUACGCGACAUCAGUGCAUCCAGCAAACAUUCCACUCGCACCAUUGUGUGUUAUGAUUAGUGGUCUCCCUGCUGCAUCAAGAUCAAAACAAGUAAAUGACUAGAAUUCUGUGAUCGUAAAUUGCCUUAUAAUUAACUAUGUUUACCUUCGGUAGGGAUAGGUUUAUUCUCGUUAUGUGCCAAGCAAGCUGCAGCAUGCAAACGAGACAGAGAUAGUAAGCAGUCUACAUCGACGGAGAAGCCAUCGACGGACGAGGAGGAUAUUGGUUACCUACGGCUUCUGAGGCCGUGGAAGGGAAGUCGGUAAGCACGCCAUCGACAGAGAAGUUGGAGUUGCUAAUAAACUGCAGGUACUCCACGGUGGGAUCAUAGCUGUAGUUGUAGCUCGCAGGGGCAUCAUUGGCGAAGUCAUAAGCGUAGACUUCCAAACCCACACCAUGAGCAUCUGUGACCAAAGAAGUGUGAGCCUCCAGAUACUGGUCUUUGUUGACAGGCCAUAUGUAGCUUUUGGGCACGAGAAUCCCAGAGGCAAAUGACUUGAUGGUGACAAGAUCGUUUAGGAGAGCUUGGUAUGUUUUCUUCGUGGAGGGCUCGACAUCAUCCACUUCCAUGAACCGGAAGAUGAGCUUCGUCUUGUGUCUCCCCGGCAAUCCGCUCAGACUCUUCAGGAACCCUAUUUCUGGAGAAGAGAUGCAAUCUAUGAUCGUUUCCCUUGAUACUGAUCUAAUGUAGUCCACUGCGUCCAAGUCAUGUUCCUUGAAGAAGGUGCUGUACUGCAUGCAGCAGAUUGGAAAGGAGUUAAUGUCGGUAACGCACAAGUAGCUGAUGAAGAACCAGAAAUGCUGUUCAUCGAGAUCAUGUACCUGCACAUUUACCCAAAGCUGGUAAGGGUGAAGCCCCGCUACAUCUUCCACCAUGGAUACCGGCAGAUUGCCAUCGAACACGCUUGGUCGAGAAAAGAUACUUUGGAUCACUUCAAAGCAAGAGUGGAGAAGAAACAUUAGAUGAUCCAGUCAGAUGAAUAGAUGGUGCAGUGCUGCACUUGAAGAACUGGUGUACUCACAUGUGACGUUGUUAUAUAGUUGAUCCGAGGUGAAAUCAAUGGAGAACCAUCCUUGAACAGGCCGCCCAUUCACAGAAUAAGUAGUUCUUCCUUUUGGGAAGACAGCUGAGAUGGUUGUGGAAUUAUCGAGUCUCAGAUCCGAGUGGCAGAUGCCAGCCCCAUCUUUGGUUAAUUGGAGAUCACAGUACAAAACGACGUUCUUCAAGCUUGUUGACUGUGCAAACUGGUACGCAAAUUGGCUUGAUUCGGGGAAGAGUCCGGAGAAGCCACCGCGUGCUAUGACUGCAGGAGCAUUACCUGCGACAUGGACAGGAAGAAGAACACAUUCUUUACACCUUGCAGCCUCUUAGUAUGGCCUAUUACGACCCUGAGAUGGAAGGAAGCCAUGAUCGUACCGCUCAAGGUCUGCCAUUUCGUGGGAGAAACCACAGCUGCUGCAGCUCCAUGGAGAAGCACGAUAAACAGAAGCACAUUCAGCUUCAUUCCUCCAGUUCCAGAGACGAAGUCCUGCAACUCAUACAACAAGAUCGCUGUAGGACGAAACUUGCUUUGUUCAUGCAGAUAUGGCAUCGGUAAUAAAUAAUCCAGAAAACCAACCUUGGGACUCGAAGAUUCUUUUGGUGAGCACCCAAAAUGGAGGCAAGGUUUCCUGGCUCCCAGGAAACCCACCACCUCCAGGAAAACAGAGAGGAUGUUAGAACAACGAUCCUACUCGUGCAUCAGAACACAUCAACGAAUUUAUUUGUUGGAAUGUGUGAGGAAAAGAAAAGGUAAUGGACGAGCUUAAAUUUCUCCCCGUCUUUCCCUCUCUCUUCUCUUGGAAAGGCACUUGUCCUCUGUUAGGCAUCCGCCAUCCUAUAAGCUCUCGCCCUCGCUUUUUGUGGAAGGCGUGGUGGUUUGACCUGGUCAACAUCUUAUGCUGAUGAUGAUGCUAACCAUGUAACGGUAUCUCCGUUCAAAGGAUGACUCGACCAUGCCGUGUAGCAGAAUCAUUAUUAUUAUUAUUAUUAUUAUUAUUAUUAAAGAACACGUGGCAUGGUUAACGACCGAUAGAUCCACGAGCCCAAGAAACAGAAGAGCGUCGGCUCGAUCGCAUUCAAGUUGUAUAUAUAUCAUCUCGAAGCUUCGCGAUACCCAAACCGUUCCCUUGCUGUUCUUUUAGCUCUCCAUCAUCUCUCCUCACUCGGAGCCGUCGACGUCCUCCGCCCUGUCGUCUUUCACCCCAAACCUAAUCUCUGGGUGCCGCCGCUGGCGAUAAUCUCAAGAGGUUGGAUCUUGUUCCAUAUUUCUUCUGCCUCCGGUAAUCUGGUUAUCAGUUCUUAGGUAUAGUCUUCUUGGCCGGUAGGGUAACUACGGUGGUUUGUUCUGUCCUUUUCUCGUUCUUUGGUUAAGGCUAAUGUUCUUUCUUGCGACAUGAUGCAUCCGAAGGCAGUAUUUGAUUUCGUUUGUUUGGUCUUUUGCGAUGUCAAUCGUCUGGCUUCUGGUAGUCUUGAUCUUUCUAGCACCCAUGUUUUAAUGGACGCCUUAAGGAAAAUUUCUUGUAGGGUUUGUACUUGCAAGAAUCUUGAUCUUGAUGCUCAGAAGGGAUCCUCAAACUCUAAUUGCUAUUGUGUCUUCGCCAUAAGUCGUGUUUGGUUUCUUGAUGUGUGUAUAUGUACAUGCAUCACGAUAAAUGAUCCCUCCCUUUUACCCUAUUUUAAGGUUGAUAACUUUUGUAUAGUGUAUGGCAAAAGAAUUUAGAUCUUCAAGUUUGGAAUUGAAGUCUAUAAUACAUUUCUUGUUUUGCAUCUAUUUUUUUAUCACAUUAUACGAUUGGUUCACAGUUAGGCCUAUAUUGAUGGAUUUAAAAAUAUGCUCAAAUGUUUUGUGCGUAGUCAGUCUUUUGAAAAGACGAUUGACAUCUCAAGAGGUCGGAUCUUGUUCCAUAUUUCUUCUGCCUCUGGUAAUCUGGUUAUGGGUAGAGUCUUCUAGGCGGUAGGGUAACUGCGGUGGUUUGUUCUGUUCUUUUCUCGUUCUAUGGUUAAGGCUAAUGUUCUUUUUUGCGACAUGAUGCAUCCGAAGGCAGUAUUUGAUUUCGCUUGUUUGGUCCUUCGCGAUGUCAAUCGUCUUUGUCCUCUCGUAAUCUUGAUCUUUGUAGCCCACACGUUUUAGUGGACGCCUUAAGGAAAAUUUCUUGUAGGGUUUGUACUUGCAAGAAUCUUGAUCUUGAUGCUCAGAAGGGAUCCUCAAACUCUAAUUGCUGUUGUGUCUUUGCCAUAACUCAUGUUUGGUUUCUUGAUGUGUGUGUGUACAUGCAUCACGAUCAUUGAUCCUUCCCUUUUACCCUAUUUUAAGGUUGAUAAAUUUUGUAUAGUGUAUGGUAAAAGAACUCAGAUCUUCAAGUUUGGAACACAAGUCUAUAAUUGGUUCAUUGGCAUCUAAUUCUUAUCACAUUAUAUGAUCGGUUCAUUGGCAUGUGUAUGUGUUAAUAGUCACAGUUAGGGCUAUCAUGAUAGAUUUAAAAAUAUGCUCAAAUGUUUUGUGCGUAGUCAGUCUUUUGAAAAGACGAUUGACAUGUCAAGAGGUCAGAUAUUGUUCACUAUUUCUUUUCCCUCUGGUAAUCUGGUUUUGAGGUCUUGGGUAGCAUCUUCGUGAAACGUAGGGUAACCGGCGGUGGUGUGUUAUGUCCUUUUCUCGUUCUUACUUGAUUUCAGUUUAUUUGGGUCGUUCACGAUGUCAGUCGUCUUUUGUCCUCUGGUAAUCUUGAUCUUUCUAACCCCCACGUUUUAAUGGAUGACUUAAGGAAAAUUCUUGGCAAACACAUGUUUGCUUCAACGUAGGAUUUGUACUUGCAAGAAUCUUGAGCUUGAUGAUCAGAAGGGAUCCUCAAAUUCUAAUUGCUAUUGUGUCUUUUCCAGAAGUCUAUGUUUGGUUUCUUGAUGUCUGUGUAUAUAUGCACAUGCAUAUACACAUAUGGUGGUCACGAUCAUUAAUCCCUCCCUUUUACCUUAUUUUAAGGUUGAUAAAUUUUGUAUAGUGUAUAGUAUAAGGACUUCGAUGUUCGAGAUUGGAAUACAAGUCUAUAACACAUUUCUUGUUUUGCAUCUAAUUUUUAUCACAUUAUAUGAUUUGUUCAAUGACAUGUUCAUGUAUAGAUACCCUCAUAUAGGCCUAUAAUGAUGGAUAUAAAAAAAUAUGCUCACUUGAUUUGUGCACAGUCGGUCUCUUGUUCAAGGAAAAUAUUAUGGAAUAAUGGAAGUCCAGAAUCUUUUAGACCACAUAUUGAUACAGGAUGUUUUGGAUCUAUUGACUUUGGUCGUUUUGGAUAAAAUCAUAGAGUUAAUUAUUUUAUUGUGACUUGGUAGUUUAAUUCUACUUUGAGAUUUAAGCUCUUGGUUAUGCCACCCUGCAUGGGAAAUUUGUCUUUAUAAAAAUGUUUGCCUUCUUCUUCUAAGUGUAUGCCAUUUCUCUAAGUCUUUAAAAUACAAAAGCCAGAAAACUGAAAACGUAGAAAAUGCUUUCCAACAUUGAAUUAAUUUUAAGAAAAACAAAGUAAGAACAAUUAUAUACACUGAUAACUUUGUCAUUUAAGAUUUUGCAUGACUUUGAAUGAACCAGCGUACGGUUGGUACUGAUUGUAAUAGGAGUGUCUUGAUUUUGAUUCUUGAGGCUUCAACUGGUGGAAUGUAGACAAUUGUCUUCUGCAUAUAAAUUUCCCAUUCCACUUGUGAGACAUCCAAAAAAGUUGUUCUUGUAAAUUAAUUUUCAAAAGGACAAAUUCUAUGAAAUAUACAAUUACGUUGAUAUCUUUAACUGAACCCAUAUUAUAUGAUUAUAUAACUGCUGUAAUUUGUCCAUGCUGUAUAUGCAUUUAACUUACUAUUUUUUGUGUGAAGCCUUCAACUGGAAUAUAGACAAUGUCUUUGCACAUAAAUUUCCUAUCCUGCUUGUGAGACCUAUAUAUAAUGUUUUUUUGUAAGUUAAUUGCCAAAAUGGCAACUUCUAUGAAAUAAUCAAAAAAACAUAUUUUAUGCUUAUGUAACUGCUCUGUAAUUAAUUCUCAUUGUGUGAAGCCUUAUAAACUUAGCAAGUUUAGUACUCCGUAUGCAAUUAACAUACUAUAUUUGGCUCAUUGUUGCCUAAAAGUUGUGAUACUUUAUUUGUCUGUACUGGAUUGAGGAAAAUUAUUUACUGGCAGAAGCUUGUAUCAUUCUACCUUAUUUACAUAGAUAGUCAACAAGGGUUCCAUGUUGCCUUUCGCAUAGCCUCACCUCUGAGAUAGGUGAUUUGUUUUGAAAGUAUGGCUUGAUAUGUUUUGUUUGCCUCAAUGCAUGUAGGAACACCAUUGAUUUGUAUUAGUAACGGCAUUUAGCUUCUAUGUGAUGCUAGAGAAUUCAUCUACUUGGUGAAUAACAGUGAAAACAAAAUAAGAAGGCACAGGAUUUUUACAUUUUAAACUGGUUGAAUGGAGGCUGCUCUCCAACUUGCUAAGUUCUAUUAGAUAAUUUUUUUGUACAGAAAGACAUUAUGCAUUCGCAAUGAUUGUACUUAGUUAUUGCGUAGUUUCUGACCCUAUAAGUUUGGACAAGUGUAAAGAAGGGAGGGAGAACUGUAUAUCUUUUGAAUGCCCGGAAAAAUUAGACUUAAAAGACAAUUGGAGUUUGGAAACAUGUAGCACAAUUUGUUUUUUGUCCUAAUGAUUAUCAAAAUAGACAAAAGAAUAUAUUCAAGUCAAGCAUUCAUGUAUUGCGAUGACAUUGUUCAAUAGUGUUGAUUAUUAUGUUGACUGUUUUUGCUCAACACUCAACUAAUAAAAUAUUACUUGAGGAAAAAUAUUUGCUCAACACUCAGCUUUUGUAUAUAUUACACGAGGAAAAAUAUUAGCUCAAUAGAAUAGCAGCAUUACUGUAUGCUGCUAUCCACUCAAUAGAAUAGCUCAAUAGAAUAGUAGCAGCUUAAUAGAAUUGUACGUACGUUGGGGUUAAUCCCUAGGACACCACCAGAUUAAUUUUUAGUUAUCCCGUCGCCUUAGAAAAGUCUCUGGUGACUUUGUUCUAGGUGUUUUAUAGACAGCUCUAGGGCAGUACUUGUCUUUCCUCUUAUGCAUGUUUUGGUUUCAUAAAUCACUGACAUAUGGAAGAAUAGCAUUUCCACUUCUUUUCUUCUAUGUCAAAACCUAACUAGUAUUUUUUGGCUGACAUUUCGAGGGGAGGUGAGGGGGACGAGGGGAUUGGGCAGUGGCGGGGGAGGCAAGGGGAAAGGGUGAGAGAGGGGAGGGGGACAGGUAUAAUAUCCCUCACUUCUGAAAUUUAUUUAUAAAAUUUUUAAUGAUUAAACUGUUAAAUUAUAAAAAAAUUAAAAAUUAUGAUUUUAUCCCAUCACCUCUCUGUUUACUCGUGCGCAUCUCUGUUUCCUGCACGAGAAAACAGAGGAGGAGGUGUGCGGUGUCAGGGAGGAGAAGAAGGGAAAAAGAGGAGAAGAGAAGAAAAGAAGAAGAAGAGAGGGAAGAGGGAGAGGAGAGAGAGGUGCUGCAGGCCAGGGUAGACGGAGAGGAGAGAGAGGUGUCUGCAGCUAGGGCUGCAGCACCUCUGUUUCCCGCAAGAAGAAACAUAGGAGAGGAUAUGUGGGGAGGAGAAUGGAAGAAGAAGAAGAAGGUGGCUGCAACACCUUUGCAUCCCGCAGGAGGAAACAGAGGAGAGGAGACGUUGUGCGUCGGGGAGGAGAAGAAGAGAAGGGAAAGAAGAGGCUGCAGCUGCAGCAAUAGCAGCCGGAAGAGAAGGAGAGGAAGAAAAGAAUGUGAGGAAGAAGAGAGGAAGAGGAGCUGUGGUUGCGGCUAGGAAAGAAGAAGAAAAAGGAAAGAAGGUAGUUGCGAUUGCGGCAGUUGGGAAAGAAGAGAAGGAAAGGAAGAAGAAGAGAGAGAAGAGAGGGAAGAAGAGGAAGAGGGGAAGGUGGCUGCGGAGAGGAUAGGUGCUGAAAAUGAAACAGGGAGAGGAGACUGAAAAAGAAGAUAGGUGCUGAAAAUGAAACAGGGAGAGGAGAUGGAGGAAAAAGAAGAUAGGUGCAGAAAAUGAAAGAAGAUGGGGCUUACACCUUCGGAUCAAAAUCUUCGAAAGGCAAGUGUUCUGAUCUUUCAUAUUGCAAGUGUUCUGAUCUUUCAUAUUGAAAGUGUUUCGAUCUUUGCUCCUGCAAGUGUCCUAAACCUUUCUCUACUAUGAUUUUAUCUCUGCUUUUGUCUUGAAUAUGAAAACUUUGAAUUGUUCUAGUCUUGUAUUUGGUACAUCUCUUGUUUAAACGUAACGAUUUGAAUUUGAAAAUUUUUGAGAUUCUGACCCUUCCACCUUUGUAGCUAUAAAUCCCUGUAUAAAUUUUCAAUUUCAAUAAAACUAGUUUGAUAUGAAUAACCUUUCUUUUGAUAGCUUAUUUGAAGGAUUUUGAGUAAAUUUGUCUGUCCAAACUUCUGUUUCAAUUAACCUUAUAGAUUAUAUAAAACAAGGAUCAUAGCUUCUGACCUUUCGAUACUGAUAGGGCAUAUUUUGGUAAACAAGGAUUAUUUUGCUAUUCACGACCACAUCAGCAUUAGGGUCAUCACGUCGGAUUGCACCCCUCGGUCAAUGUCGAUUCCGCAAAGGUCGGACGAUGCAAAUCGAGUAUCAUGCCAUCCCGUAGGAGUCGGGAUAGCCGCGACCGAGUACAGCGUCGUCCCAUAAAGAUCGGAUCGGCGCUGACCAAGUAUAGCAUCGUUCCGCGAAGGUCGGGACGACGUCAACCGAGUACAACAUCGUUUUGUGAAGGUCGGGACGACGCCGACCAAGUAUGACGUCAGACAAUCAUAAAUAUGAUAGGUACGGUUGGUCCAACGAGGGAAGGAUAAAAACCCCUCGUGGGGGCGACAAUAGAGGUGGUUGAUUUUCCACUCAAUUCUAACAAGAUCUUCAGAGGGGUCAAAAUCGGGAGCCGCCUUCCCGACCCCGACCUGUGUGCAGGGUUCGUUGACAAAAAGGAGGCGGUCAGCCAAAGGGUGUUUCUCGACUUCGAAGCCAGAGCCCAAGCCUGACCUCACCAAAGCACGAUCGCCAUCAACUGAAUGCCGACGUGGACAAUCCUACGCAUUCGAGACUAAACCAAGCCAUGCUGACUCCAUCUCCCAUGGUGUGAGGGAUCCUUAUUAGAUACUAAAUUACCUAUAAGUCCCUAUAGGAAACUCUGAUUUGUUCAAAACUUAUUUCAUUAGAAAUCAGACUCAAUAGAUCCUUUUUUUGAUACCUAGAUCGAAAGAUUUGAAGUCCAAAUAUCUACCCAGUUUUCUAUUGAAAUAUCUUUAUAAUAUAUUUUCAAGUAAAUUGGAGCAUAAUUUUAAAUAAAUUGAAUUCUUGGAUGUUCUUGUUUUGCAUGUUUUUAUUUUCUUUUAAAUUUGAAUGCAUUUGUGAAAGGCACAUGUACGUUUCGUUAUACUGCAUGUGCCAAUUUAUUAUUUAUAAUGCCCUUUUGUACUCUGGUGUUUGUGGGAGUAUCUGGAUCUUUGUUAGAAAUGGUAAAAGGAUUAUGCCUAGAGCCUGCGAUGUUUUGUCGAUGGUCAUCUAGAAAUGGAUGAAUUAUAUUUUGUCUUUAAUCCCACUACACCUUCUAUAUGUGAAUGCAAAUAUGACGUUUAAACUUUUGUUUCGUAUUUGUUCUUUGAUAUGCUUCGAAAUAGUUCAUAUGUCGUUGAUAUGCUCUGAAAUAUUUCAUAUUCUAUUAAUAUGUUCUGAAAACACUCUGUGCUUCAUUUGUAUUCUGCCUUGCAUUAUGAUACCUAGUUUGUUUGAAACUAUCUCUUUUCAUUUUGGAUAUGUUUAAUCACUUACUGAGCGUUUUAACUCACUCUGUUGUUAUAUAAAUCUUUUAGGUCAACUUGUCGAGAUGUUUGUACAAGGUUGAGGUAGUGGAGAGCUAUUCAAAAUUCUGGGCAAACCUUAUUAUGUAAAAGUGUUAAAAGAUCUCUCUCGUUUAGAAUUUCGAAAUGUUAAGUUUAAUUUACGAUGAUAUGAACUUGAGAUAAAUAGUUGAAGUUCUGAUUGUAUAAACUAUACAGGUUUUAUGGAUGUGAAGUUGAUUGAAUGUUUCUCAAUGUCUCCAAAUGUUAGAGAGGAUGAGGGUAAGGGGAGGGGAGGCAAAUGAUUGUAUAAACUAUACAGGUUUUAUGGAUCUCAUUCCUUCUCACACUGACUCCUUCCGCUCUUUCCCCUAGUCGUUGUCCCUCUUCUUCUGUCCCCUUACCUCACUCCCUCCAUCCUUCUCCUCUCCCUUGCCCUCACUCCCUUCGUACCCCUCGCCUCACACCCCCACUCCUUCUCUCAUCGCCCACCCUCUCACCUUAACCCUGCUCCCUCCCCUAGCCUCUGUCCCUUUUCUUCCGUCCUCUCGCCUCGUUCCCCCNNNNNNNNNNNNNNNNNNNNAUGCCCCCCCACCCUCUGCCCCCACUCCCUAAAUCCCCCUAACCUCUCUCCCUCUCCCCCUAACCUUUAAAGAUUAAAAUGCACUUAUAGGUUCCAAAAGAGCCCAAAAUUCUUGUGCAUUUUUAUCUCCUUUUUACAUUCAAUCAAAACUACUCAUUAGUUGGGAUGGCCUUUCAAAUUAUAACAUCAUAAUCUCUAUCAUCAUAGUCUCUAUUAUGCCAAUGACACAAAAAAACUAAUAUGACUUCAGAAACACAUUUUGUCAUCAUAAUAUCACUUGGACCAAAAAUUCAUAUCAGGGUUCUCCAAAGAGCUGAAGAGCUUAAUGGGAUUGGAGAUUGAAGGCCUCAUCCCACCCUUCACCAUUUGUGCUACAAGCACAAAACAGAAAAUCUAACGAAAAAUUACCACUCCAAAACUCUCAGAGAAGCUAAUCUGUUACUUCACAUCUCUAAUGGUCAAGGAAUUCAUGGAGUUGGACAUGACAGGUUGGGUUUUCUUUAUCCACAACAUGCAAGCAUAUGGAGACAUAUGCAGGCAGUCAAAAGAAAGAAAAACGGUCAAAAAAAGAGAGGAAAAGCUAGAUAAGGUAAAAUGUGAUGAUAAGCUGUAACUGAAAAUUAUAGCUGUACUACCAGAUAACCUUCACACUUUAUAAUUUUGCAUGUCACAAGUAAAAUAAAGAUAUCAGUUUGAUGUACAGUUCGAUCAUUCCUGACACAUGUAACUAUUGGACAGAAACCUGUAUCAAUUCCAAAAUAAUCACCACAGGUACAUGAUCUAAUAAUUGGUUAUACAACAACAGUCAGGAAUGCAUAAAAUUGAUGCUUUGCCAACAGCACAUACAUCAUAUUAAUAAUCCAAAGAUUUAAUUGAUAAGACAAAAUUAUAUUUAGUUUAAUCAUCCAAAUUUCAGCACACAUUUUAAAUACUAUUGCUAUAAGAUAUAGAAUUUGCUAUUCAUUGCAUACAUAAUAGAAGAUAACAAACUAAAUCUUAAAAUAUAACUACUUAGUUGAGUGUCAAUCUAUUAUUUAAUUCAAGAUGUGCACUUCAAUUUUUUCAAGUUGCAUAAUUCAUCUACAAUGGAGUCUGUAUUGAUAAUUUCAGCAAAGAAGACUUAACUAACCUGAUUAACAUCGAAGGCAGAACCACAAACCAAUGAUUUAAUGCAAGAAUAUUUUACUAACUUGAGAAAGCACAGACAAAGAAGGCAGCACUUUGAUUGCAGACGAGCAAGAAAAGCAAAGCAUCUUAUUUGUAAGCCCUAGCAAAAAUAUAUUGAUGGAAGAAAAUUAGAUUUGCCAAUUGAAAUUCCUUUUUUUUUUUUCUUGGGGAGUUCACAAGUUUUCUUCUUUUUUUUUUAGGUAUACUUUAAGAGAUCACUUAUAGAAAGAAAUCAAAAUCCGGUUUUCCUUCAAUCAAGAAAUAGGAAGGGCUUCUUUAUCACAGUCAAGCGACCAUAGGAGCAUGGCCUCCCAUAUGCUGGCAAGAUUCCUUUCUACGUGAUCCUUUUUGACAGAAAGAAGUCAGAUGAGGAUAGGGACCCUCACUAGUUGAAGGUAGGGGUAUAAACAAGAUUAUAAUAGAGUUUUGGAAAGCCAAGACACUGACAGCCCUUGGUGCCACCGAAGAAAGCCAACCAGGGCCUGAAUGACUCGAUUUCAGCCACUAACAAGAAUUCUAGAAUCAAAUCCAUGGACAUCGAUCAAAAAUCCGUAGGAGAUCGAAAGCGGAGGCGAGAGAAAAGAAACGAAGAGCAUGACAAGAAGUCUAAGGUUCAUCUCCGUAGACAUCGAUAAAAAAUCAACAAGAGAUCCACCUGCGGCGGGUCAAGAAAAGAAAAGAGGGGAAUGACCAGGUCUAAGAAUUAUCUCCAUGGACAUCGAUGAAAAAUCAAUAGGAGAUCCACCAGCGGAAGGUAGGGAAAAGAAAAGAAAAGAAAAGAAGAGGGCCUGAAUGACUCGAAUUCAGCUUCUACCAAGAAUUCUAGAUCUAAUCAGUAAAGGUCUGGUUGCAUCCACAAGAAGUCCAAGAUUCAUCUCCAUGGACAUCGAUCAAAAAUCCAUAGGAGAUCGACCUGCGGAGGGGCAAGAAAAGAAAAGAAAAGAAGAGGGGAAUGACAAGAAGUCUAAGAUUCAUCUUCAUUGGCAUCGAUCAAAAAUCACUAGGAGAUCAACCUGCGGAGAGGAAAGAAAAGAAAAGAAAAGAAGAGGAGCAUGACUAGAUGUCUAAGAUUCAUCUCCAUAGUCAUCGAUCAAAAAUCAAUGGGAGAUACACCUGCGGAAGGAAAAGAAAAGAAAAGAACAGGGGAAAAACAAGAGAAUCUUGAAGUUUCCAUGGAGGUACUGAGGAACACCGGAGAUCGACCCUCUCCAUUAGAGAUCCAGAGGAGAAGAGUACAAAAGCUUCCACUCACAAGCGUCGCCAGGAGCUACAAAGCCGUGACAUCCAAGAACUAAAUCAACAUGAAUGUGCAGGGCAAACCUAUUAGGGUAUUAUCUAUACACGAACAAGAUCUAAUCCGUAAAGAUCUAUUAGCUUGCUCAAGAAUUUCAAGAUUCAUCAUCAUCGAAAUCCAAGAUUAAUCCGAGAAGAAAGGAAAAAGGCAAAAUACGAGGGAAACCUUCAGCUUCGGCGGAGGAACCCUUCGAUGGCGGUGGGUAACGUCCUCGCUUCAUCCGAUCGAUCGACUCCCUUCCGCUCUCUCCUCCUCUUCAAGAUCUAGUUGGAGUUUCCUCCCCCAAGAACUCGACAGCGAGCGAGAGAAGGAAUAACCAACUGGGGCAAGACGGUUUCUUGAAUUGGACCAAAACCCAUAUAAGUAGUAGUUGGGCCAAAACGGCCGGCCCGGGUCGGGUUUUAAUGACUAAUGGUUCGGGUUGGACGGAACCAAGAUGCGGUGGGCUGAGAAUUCCAAUCUGGUAAUUUAAAUAGAUUAAUAAUUAGCUCAUUUUUUUUUAUUCGGUAAACCGACAAUAAAUGGUGCCAUUUAUUGUCGAUAAAUGGCAAGUGGCAGAAUGACUCGGAUGUGGACAUUCUUGUGUGACGGUGACUUGGCGCGAGGAGCAUUAAUGAGAUGAGCUGGUUUGCGGAAGAAGCAGGGUGUUCCCCUGCCGACAUCGAUCGAUGUGCUCUCUUUACAUUUACAUGUGAGGGCAUGUUUGCCUACAGAACGCAGAGGGUGGCCGUGUAUACCCACCACGUUCCCCCGCAUUCCUACAAACAAUUCAUCUGCACAUCCACCUCCGUGCAUAAACACCAUGCUUGGCCGUCCUCGCAUCAAGGAAUUGCCCGCUCCAACCCACGCUAGUCUGUUGUCGAGCUCCGACAACCCCCCACAACCACUCUUAUGCCUUUUCCCGCACCCACACAAAGCGCUGCGUGGUGCCCGUUUCAUCCCCUCUACGCCACCAACAAACGUACGCCGGACUGAUAAAGAUGGGGCCAAAAGCAUCAGUAAGCAAAAGGUGAUGAGGGCGGUGGGCGUGACGGGUGCGUGAGGCACAAAGCGAAAAAUGAGAGGACGUAAGUUGCCACUCCAUCAGCGCGCCUGUCGAACACCUUUCGGGCAUCCUUUAGGAAUACAAAUCUCUCAAGCAACGAAGGCAAAGAUGCAAUGGUGCUCGUUGUUUGAAGAAACCACGGCAAGGCCGUCGAGACACGGCCAUCACGUCAUCCGCCGCGUCAUCACCAUCAUCCUCACUCGUACGCCGGUUUGGGAUCUCACCGGGGCGGAAUCCCGAAGCACGCAGACCACGUGGGACGCCAGAGAACGAACCUGCUGUUGGCGCUUCGGGAACGUGGGGAUUGACGGGGCCCACGUGGAGAACCAACCAAGAGCACGGACAAGUACAUGAUGGCGAGCCUCGUGAGCCCCACGUGACGGGGAUGGCCUGCCGCGGGCGCCGAACGCCAAGUUUCCGCUAACAUGGUGCGUUGUAUUAGGCACGGAUAACCCAAGUGUAAAGAUGGGGGGGCUGUGGGAGGGAAUCUAAGCUGCACCUUCGUAGUUCUUUCGCCUGCCAGCCAAGAAGCUAUAUUAUAGUCCAUCUGAAUUCAAUAAUGUGGAAGUGGUGGACACGAGGAUGGCACUGUCAGGGGGACCAGUGGCGAUGUCUUGGAAAAGCAAGCUUUGGGAUCUCGCUGCAGCUCUAAUCGGGGCAGGCCACCGUGACAGCUCAGAAGCAAACGAACAACGUAGGUAGAUUUUGACUUCAGAUGACGAUGCUACGUAAUGUGUAGUAAAAAACGAUAAGAAAAGGAUGGUGGUGCCCGAGACGGGGAGCAUGGUCCACCUAACUGCUUCCCUCCCACCACAUGACCGCUUUUUUGAAGUGCCCAAACGAUGCGUGGUGGCCCACCCUCACACGUGCGCCACGCUCCACAAGUGGGCUGCAGGUGCACGUGCUGCCCCAACCGUGCCCGUCGUUCUCUUUUCCCGGUCCUCAAAUAUCUAUUUCCGUUCACACGCGUUCGUGACGGGCGUUUCCCUACCCGCACCGUCCUCUUUCAAUCUCUCUCGUGGUCACGUUUCCCCGGUUGUCUCCUCGAACCGACCCAGUCGAAUUAAUUUGAACUGGUAGAAAGGAAGAGAAAUAGAUGCAUGUGGGCCGUGUGAUGCGGAGGCGAACGUAGUUGGUUCUUUGCACUGCUUCACAGCCGGGGAGGUCGGGCGGGCCAAAUCGCCAGCUGUGAGGGGGGGUACACGACGUACGAGUCACGGGAAAUGCCAUCGCAAUCCAAUAUCCAUUAAUGAACUACGACAGAUAGCAACCGACGCUGCCCUGCUCGUUCGUAUAAUAAUGAAGUAUUGAUAGGCUUACUUCCAACAUGUAUCUCCCCUUGCUAAUUCUUCUAGAUGGAGAAUUAUUACUAAAUUACUCUUUAAGUGGGGGGACACCGUGUUCAUUAUAUUAAAUAACAGACGUACGUAGAUAUAAUAAAGGCGUAAGGAAGGAGCGAGGAAGGUCGGUAACAGGUGGUUUAGAAAGGAAGAGGGAGGGAGGGAGGGGUGUCGGUGUGCAGUCAAAUCUAGAGAUAGAAAAAUGGCAGUCGGUUUUUUGGCAGUUUGGAGAGCUUUCGAGUGUGUACAGGAGAAGAAAAGGAGAGGGUGGGGGGCAGUUAAAGGCUGCAUCUGACAGCUUGACAGGCUGGCCUGAACGGAUACCAUAUCUUCCCAUCGGACGAUAUAAUUCACAACAGUAACAUCAUCCAUCAACGGCGUUACUGCGUACUGAGUCGAAACGGAAAGGGACGAGUGAUACACGCGGGCAGAACUCACAACGGCGUUGUCACGGAAGGAAGGCGCUGUGAACAAGAUGGCGUUUGAGGGCGUUACGAUUCUGAUUCGAUGGGUGUACAAUUACCGUCUGAAACAUGGUGGGAAUCGCAACGAGGCAUCAUUGUCCGCACCCGUUAUGCGAUUGGAGAUCGUACGGGCCCCACGCGGCAAGCCGCUGACAAGGCACACGGUUGGUAGUGUCGUCGAGCAGACAAAGGUGGUGCCGUGGAGCAGCUAACGGAGAUGCGUGGCCACCGCCAGCUGUAUGCAAACGAAACCUGUGGGAACCGGACGAGCUCGCCAAGCGAUACCUUAACCCGGUCACCGUCGACCCUCUAUAAAAUCCCGUCUGUCUUCUUCGUGCUGCUACUGCCAUAACUCUCGCUUCCUUCAUCAGCCUCUUCUUCCUCUGGGUUUGAACAUUUGCUCUAACGUAGCAAAAUAACGGUCGAAAUAUUUGUUUAUUUCCUACGGUGGCCUAUCCUUCCCUAUUUUUCUUUGUAUUGAUAUCCUCCGGGAUUUUCGUUGGAAUCGCUUGGGGGUUUGGAUCGAUCGGUUGGAGUUUUUGAGUUGGGGGAGAUUGGAUCCGAUGGCGGCGACGACGACGACGACGGGGGGAAGCAGGAGCAAGGAGGCUGAUAGGAUCAAGGGGCCGUGGAGCCCGGCGGAGGACGAGGCGCUGCAGAGGCUGGUGCAGCGGCAUGGCCCCAGGAACUGGUCGAUCAUCAGCAAGUCCAUUCCGGGGCGCUCCGGCAAGUCGUGCCGGCUGCGAUGGUGCAACCAGCUCUCGCCCCAGGUGGAGCACCGCCCCUUCACGGAUGAGGAGGACGAGAUCAUCGUCCGCGCCCACCGCCGCUUCGGCAACAAGUGGGCCACCAUCGCCCGCCUCCUCUCCGGGCGUACCGACAACGCCAUCAAGAACCACUGGAACUCUACACUCAAGCGCAAGCACAGCCGCCCCUGCGCCGGAGAAGACGGGCUGCAGCACCACUACGACGCGAUCAUGUCGGUCAAGGCAGCGGAUAUGGAGGACGAGGCGGAAGCGACGAGACCGCUGAAGAGGGCAAGCAGCGACGGCCUGAUCCUGUUGUCGCGAGGAUCAGGGAUUUGCUUCAGCCCCGGAAGCCCGUCCGGGUCCGAUGUCAGUGAUUCCAGUCACCAUAGCUAUCCGGUGAUGCCGCCGCCGCACAUCUAUCAGCCGGUUCCGACAACUGGCCGCAUCGUGCCAUGCUCCUCUCCGAUCCUCAAACAGACUCAGGGCGAGACAAUCAGUGCUGCCGUAGCCCCUACAUUUCCCAACAACGACGACGAUCCAGCUACUUCCCUCACCCUCUCCCUUCCUGGAUCAUGUCAGAUGUCCACCUCCAAGGAUCGCAAGGUCCAUACCAUCUUCAAACCCAGUCACCAGAGCCAGCUGUCGUGCUCUGUUGCUGCUGCAGAUCCGCAGCAGAUGAUACCGGGCUUUUCCUCUGCAGCCACUUCCGCCGAGGAGGGGCGUCGGCCAGCGCCUUCUCCUUUUAGCGCCGAAUUCCUGGCGAUCAUGCAAGAGAUGAUCCGCAACGAGGUGAGGAGCUACAUGGCGGGACUGCAGCAGAGCCGCAUGAUGUGCGGCGUGCAGCCGCCAUCGGAGAGGGCCCGCAACGCCGCCGCCGUGAACCCCAUCGGAGUGACAGAUCUCGAGUAGGAGACGUUUUGGUCGCCGAGGAUUAUUAGUGAGCAAAGGAAUCGAAGAACAUCUUCGUAAGGAGAGAAGGCGGCUCCCUUCUUUGUAGUUGAAACCUUUCCUUUGCCCUGCUCGAACUCCUUCCUAAAUUUGGUUGCCUUGCUAGUGGAAAAAGAAAUUGUAUAGGAGAAAGACCACAAUGUUAAAAACACAAAAAAAAAGAGCAGUUUUGUCAUUUUGAUUUCAUUUUACUCGUUCAAAAGGGAAAAGUUGUGUGUUGAUAACAGUUAAGCGAGUUCGCGACCUGCCGCAUUCUGCGAUGGUCAUCUACUGUCUUCAUCAUGCAGUAUAUUAACAAUAAUUACAUAUUAGCGGAACUUUUGAAUUGAGAAUCUGAUCGAUUUAUUUUGUCUUAAAAAUUAAGAUUUAAUUUUUCUAUAAAUAUCUAAGUUUUGACAAAGAAAAAAAAAGUAAAAUGUGAAUAUAUAUAUAUAUAUAUAUAUAUAUAUAUGUCUUAAUAAAUAAAUUAAAAAAGGUGAUGGUGAUUGAGCCACACGUGAUCAACGAAGAAUAGUGCCACAUCUCUAUGGGAUAAAAAGAAUUGAAUCACACAUAUGGGAGAUAACUUAAAAGUCGUAUUUUAGCGCUGAUCUAUGUCAGAUACGCAAACAUCAUUAGAUAAAAACAUGCUAGAUUUGAACUUUGCCAUAGAAGAAAUGAAAUCCUAUCCCUAUUAAGCGGUAUUACCAGCAAAAAGCUUAAAUGAUAGAUAAGAGUAGAUGUAGGCAGAUGAAGCAAUCAGUUUGGUAUUGACUGCGGAUGGACCGAUGCACCAGUGCGGUAUUAAUAGAAGACAGUGAUAUUGGCGCGGCUCAAUCUGAGAAGGGUUUACCAUCGUAUCAUAAGUAAAUCCAAUCAUCAGAUUCAACCUCACCAAUACCACUUCCUUCAUCCACCGAGUCACCAACACUACUGACUGCGAUCACAACCAAUGAAGAAAGCAGAAGAUACAUGCCACGAUUGGGCUCAGCUGCAGCUGGAGGAGGUAGGAGAGGCCUGUGAAUCAAGAGGGCUCGACCAUGGAAGGAGACGACAGAAGGUUGUGAAGCAAUAUGGAAGGAGAGGGGAGAGCGCAUGAAAUAGUGAGGGAGGUGUCUCGGGAUUCUUAAGAAGGAAGUGCGAGGGGAAUGAUGCGAGUUCACCCAAUUCAACGCAGGAAGAUGUGUGCACGCUUGAUGUAUCUUUCUUGCGCAUGCAUGCCCGCCUGCAACAUUCGACGUACUCCAUUCGUUCAACUCUUCUUCCAACGUAGAGGGACGAGUACCACCGCGUAGUACACAGAGUGAGUUAUCGUCUCUCAUUCUUUUCUUACGCUCACGACGGAGGACAACGGCGUCAAAGUGGUUCUGCCAUGACACCGACAACACGCGGGGACACCCGCCGUUGGGCUGCUCAACCUCGCUGCUGCUUCUCCCUUUCGACCGCGCAUCAUCAUUAACUGGUUCGUCUUCAACAGUCCAAGAUACUUGGUGGAGAGGAUGAGUGUGUCAGGCAAAAGGUGGGACUCCUCGAGUUCCUCCUCGCUCUCUCCUACACCAAAAGCUGAUGCACCACCUUGGCGUGAAAGCGAGUUAAGGGAUAAAGGUUUAGAAUCCCAUGUUUGCAAUCAUGGCACACACGACGACUAAGCUGUAGGAAUCGACCUGUUCUUGAGCUCAAAUCGUUGUUGAUAUUAAAUCAGUGCAAUAGAUCGAGAAGAACAGGGUGAAUAAGGAGGCAUCCAGAUACAUUGUUAUUAUUUCUCAGUGACCCAACACGAUCAGCUCCUGGUCGAAUACAUGGAACAUAUCCGGGCCGCCCUCAUCCGCGUUCGCAUCGUGGUUGGAAGCUAAGGCGUCGGCGGGCCUUGCCGUUGCUUGGCUCACUGGUACGUGGAAGUCUGUGCUCUUGAUGGUGAGUCCGUCCGCCCCCACCGCCACGACGUCGCCCGCGGCCGAUCUCAUCAGCAGCAUGCAUGCAAGUAUUGCGAGGAUAGCCAUCGCCCGGAGGGAGGCCAUCGUUGUCGUCGCGGGUGGUCGCCGGUUGACAACAAGAAGAAGAAAGGCCGUGAGAGGGAAGGGAGGGGACGAAGCCAUUUUAAUGAGAGAGGGAGGGAAGCAGACCGACGACGGUUUCGGCCAUUCGAGGAAACGGGUGGCUGCAGU